CCGAACCGGACUCGGCUUACUUAACGAGUCACGGUCGAACCGGUCCGACCGGCCGGUCCGGUCCGGUUUUCAAAACCUUGGGAAUUAGUAAUGUCAGGUGUGGAACCAAAGGUCGCUGUAGCCACCAAUAUCAACCCUAAAUUAGUUGGAGAGUUAGUCACCACAAGGUUGGUCUCGGUAUGGUGGUGUUAAGAAGAUCGAAACGUUAACACUGUCUGAGCUAAAUGCUUAUAUCAUAUCGCCCCACAGGUGACCACUUUCACGUAACCCAUAUGUUAGUGCGUUUCUUGACCAACAAUUACUUUCACUUGCGUUGGUGCCAUAUCCAAAGCGUUCCUGAGAUAAAGUGCAAACGAGGAAAGAAAGCUUUCUUAUUACAUGGUAUCUCACCAGAAUCAAUCAAUUUGUUUCUACCGUGAGUAUCUCCAAAUACAGAAUGUAUUGCAACGAGGACAGCAAGAUGAUCGUUGUGUAUGAGUAUGGAAAAGGGAACGCUUAAGGACCAUCUGAACGCUGGAGACAAAAGCUUGAGAUAUGCGCUAAAGGGCUUCACUAUCUCCAUACAGGUUCCGCAAGAGCCACUAUACACUUUGUGUGAAGCCUGCUUCAGGCCAUUGAAGCUCUCGACCCGAACCACAAACUGGGUACUGGAACCACAAGAAUCAAACUCAAUCUGAAUAGAAAGAAACUUCAUAUCAUCAAACUGUUCCGUGAGUUUAACCAAAGGAAAAAUUUACAGAGCAAAUUUGAUGUAAUAAAAGCUCAAAGAGCAACUCUGAGACAACAAGAGUGAAUACCUUUUGGAUAGAUAGAGAAAAUUUCUUUCUUUCUU